rnacentral:rRNA from 1 species
GAAAUGCGAUAAGUAAUGUGAAUUGCAGAAUUCAGUGAAUCAUCGAAUCUUUGAACGCACAUUGCGCCCUUUGGUAUUCCGAGGGGCAUACCUGUUCGAGCGUCAUUU